UGAAACCCUAACGUGUAGUUCUCCAGCGGCUGCCGCCUACCGCUGCGUGCCUCCCUCCCUGGCCCAUGCGACCCUGCUGGCUGCUCGUGUGUCCUGUGUCUCCUGCGAGCUACGACCCUACUGGCUGCUGGCAGAUUGUCGUCCUCUAUCUCCUCUCCUCCGCGACCGCGGGUGCACGAAGCCGGGCAGUUGGCCGCGAGGACAAAGGAGGCUGGAGUACGGCUAGCCAGCCGCCAGACGGCCAGAGCGUGGAGCGCGACUACGCGAGGGAUCUGGGCGGGUGAUUUGUCCAGCACUCAAGCCUCUAGCCAAUCCUAGUUACUGUAACUCGGUUCAAAUUCACGUGCUAACGUGGAUGAAGUUAUUAGAGGUGGAGAAGGACCAAAUCGUCUCUAAUUAGUUUAACUGGCAGGAUCAUCGACGAGCGGAGAAGGAGGUUGAAGUCUGAUGUGGUUGAGAUGUUGACAUGCAUUAAAGAUUGGGAGGAUGCUGAAGCAAAGAUGCAACACAUGGUGGAUGACAAAGAGCUUGAAGAAACAUUUAAAAAUCUUUAUCUUGAUUAGUCUCUUACUCUCUUUGUGACCAUUUGUGUAAUGAGACUGUAAUAUUAUGCACCUGGACUUUGUUGUAAGGACAAUGAACUUUUUAAUGAGCUGGGAUGUACUCUUUUUUCCUGUCUAGGUUUCUCACAAGGGUGAGUUUUACCUAGACAUGUUUUUAACGAGGCAGCCAUUGCA